rnacentral:rRNA from 1 species
GCAAGUCGAGCGAACGGACGAGAAGCUUGCUUCUCUGAUGUUAGCGGCGGACGGGUGAGUAACACGUGGAUAACCUACCUAUAAGACUGGGAUAACUUCGGGAAACCGGAGCUAAUACCGGAUAAUAUUUUGAACCGCAUGGUUCAAAAGUGAAAGACGGUCUUGCUGUCACUUAUAGAUGGAUCCGCGCUGCAUUAGCUAGUUGGUAAGGUAACGGCUUACCAAGGCAACGAUGCAUAGCCGACCUGAGAGGGUGAUCGGCCACACUGGAACUGAGACACGGUCCAGACUCCUACGGGAGGCAGCAGUAGGGAAUCUUCCGCAAUGGGCGAAAGCCUGACGGAGCAACGCCGCGUGAGUGAUGAAGGUCUUCGGAUCGUAAAACUCUGUUAUUAGGGAAGAACAUAUGUGUAAGUAACUGUGCACAUCUUGACGGUACCUAAUCAGAAAGCCACGGCUAACUACGUGCCAGCAGCCGCGGUAAUACGUAGGUGGCAAGCGUUAUCCGGAAUUAUUGGGCGUAAAGCGCGCGUAGGCGGUUUUUUAAGUCUGAUGUGAAAGCCCACGGCUCAACCGUGGAGGGUCAUUGGAAACUGGAAAACUUGAGUGCAGAAGAGGAAAGUGGAAUUCCAUGUGUAGCGGUGAAAUGCGCAGAGAUAUGGAGGAACACCAGUGGCGAAGGCGACUUUCUGGUCUGUAACUGACGCUGAUGUGCGAAA